rnacentral:rRNA from 1 species
UGGGGAAUUUUGCGCAAUGGGCUAACGCCUGACGCAGCAACGCCGCGUGGAGGAUGAAGGUCUUUGGGUUGUAAACUCCUGUCAGCAGGGAAAAAGGGACUCGGUCUAACACACCGGGGAGUUGAUUGUACCUGCAGAGGAAGCCCCGGCUAACUCUGUGCCAGCAGCCGCGGUAAUACAGAGGGGGCAAGCGUUAUUCGGAAUUAUUGGGCGUAAAGGGCGCGUAGGCGGCUUGGCAAGUGGAUGGUGAAAUCCCUCGGCUUAACCGAGGAACUGCCGUCCAAACUGCUUUGCUUGAGACCGGGAGAGGUGAGUGGAAUUCCCAGUGUAGCGGUGAAAUGCGUAGAUAUUGGGAGGAACAGCAGUGGCGAAGGCGGCUCACUGGACCGGUACUGACGCUGAGGCGCGAAAGCGUGGGGAGCAAAC